UCUAUGGUCAUGAUAGGCCACCCUACCACUAGUGUAAUACGCCCUUUUUUUAAAAUAUAUUUCCUGGUCUCUCAGAGAUUUUGCCUAUCCCUUUCCCAGAGCAAUAUAUAUAAACAAUUACAAAUAAGUUACAAAACGCUACUUAUAAGUAAUACAGGGUUUCAAAUAAUAAUACAGAAUAGAACUGCACAACAACUAUUGGGUAUGCUCCCCCUUAUCCGGACACGUUUAAAUACCCCAUAGCUCAGGUUCCCCACCCGCUACUGUAACUAAAAUCACAGCCCACGUUAUGGAGGUUCACCCGCUAGGCAGAUACACCCUAAUUCAAAGCAUGGAAAUAUUAAAAUCAGUUAUAGAUGGCUUCUAAAAUAAUAUAAAUCUUAAUCUGAGCCCCUACACUUACUUUGUUAAAAAUGCUAACU